AGUCGGACGGGCUGCUGGUGAAGGGCCGGCGCCGCUCCGCGCGUCCUUUUGAACUCAACGGGGGCGGGCACCGCGGAGUCGCGGAGGCCAGCAGAGGCCGAACGAGGACCCCGAGCGGAGGAAGCCGCGGGUCUGUGUCCUGAAGCUUGGCAGAUGAGCGAACUUAGCCAGCACACCCCCGGCCGUGAAGCAGGGAGGUGAAGCGGGGAGAGCAACGAGCCCCACCCGGGUCUUGCCAGCUGGACGUUCUUGUGGGGCAGCGUUGAGCAGCGGUUAGGAGUGCCGUGGACUUUGGAUUCAAACAGCCCCAGCUCUUCUGCUUGCUAGCUGGGUGACUUUGGGCAAAUUAACAUCUCGAAAAUCUGUUUCCUCAUUCCUAAAAUGCGGGUCUGAAAGUGAUCAUGCCUGUAAAGCCAUCUCAUAUCCAUGGUUCUAGAAGCAUGGUGAGCACCUCAAUUUGAAUAAUCAGUGCCAUGCUUUAGCUACCUCUUGACUCACUCGUUUGUGGCAGGAAAUGUUCCCAAAUUAAUCAGAAGAAUUCAGUGACUAAGAGGAUGUAAUAGUAUAUAGCGCAGGCACUGGAAUCAGCUCUGCUGUGUGAUCUUGGACAAGCUGCUUCUGUUCCGUUUCUCUUAUCUGGGGCAAUACCUGUCUGAAUAGAGUGACUGUUGGGACGAAAUAGGUUAGUAAAUAUGUACUGUAAGGCAUUAGAACCUUGCCUGGCACAUAGUAAGUGCUCAAUAAACGCUAGGUCUUGUUACCUUGGCUUCCCGUUUAGGAUUGGAACCCUUGUGAUUAUUCUUUCCCUCCCAGUGAUAGACUUCUGUGCUUACUUCGCACUCCUAGGCGUUCUGUAGGUUUGUAAACCAGUAUUUAUACAGAAAUACUUUCUGUAGAAAGACAGGCAUCAUCAGAUUGUGCAUGUUAAUCCGGGAACAGACCGAAAGGGAAGGUCUCAGAGGAGAGAGGCAUAAAGGGAGAAAACAAAACAAAGUCACAAGCAAAGCAAGAGUAGUUGCUUUUAUUCCUAAAGUGUUCAUUAUAAAAGAAACCAGAGGGCAGGGCACUGUGGCUCCCAGCACUUUGGGAGGCGGGUGGAUCACUUGAGGUCAGUAGUUUGAGACCAGUCUGGCCAACAAGGUGAAACCCUGUCUCUACUAAAAAUACAAAAUCCGCUGGGCGUGGUGGCACACACCUGUAAUCCCUGCUACUCUGGAGGCUGAGGCACGAGAAUUGCUUGAACCUGGGAGGCAGAGGUUGCAGUGAGGCGAGAUCACACCAUUGCACUCCAGCCUGGGCAACAACAGCAAAACUCCGUCUCAAAAGAAAAAAACAAACACAAAUACAGGAGGAAAACAAACAAUAAAAAAGUGAUGAAAUUCAUUUUAUAUAAAUAUAUUGUGAGAAAUAUAUGUAAAUAUGUGCAUGG
rnacentral:lncRNA from 1 species